CUAGUGUCGUAGAAGUUUAUUAGGACAUAUAAAUAUUCGAUAUGUUCUUGUGAUUGUGAGCAUAGAUAACAUUUGGGGAUCUACAGAUGAAAAGGUAUCAUUUUCUUAAUAACUUGCAGCAACAAGCUUGAUAACCUAUGCAUUUGCCAUUAUAGCCUUUCCCAUAUUCUCUAAAGCACGAGUCAUCACAUAAGAACUUCGAGCACUUGGAAAGCUGCAGAAUUGGUUGGUCGCAAGUUUCUGCCUCAACAAACAUUGUACCUGUACAAAAUUGAACGACCAAAAUUUAGCUGAAGAAGUAUCAAAUAAAUCUUCAUUAAGGCUUUUUGUCAAAUAGUAUAAAUAUGACAUAUUAUAAAUCAACCGAGACUUAAAGAUAAUUUUUUUUUUCUUUUAAUAAGUGCUUACCCAUUGAAGCCAUCAUGAGGAAGAUAGCAAAGAAGCCAAAGGCGAUUCUCAUUUCCUUAACUUUGUGAAUUAGCAAAUGAAUUUGCAAUGUUUGCU
rnacentral:lncRNA from 1 species